rnacentral:rRNA from 1 species
CCCUUAGAUGUUCUGGGCCGCACGCGCGCUACACUGAUGAAUUCAACGAGUCUAAAACCUGCUCUGAUAGGGGUGGGUAAUCUUUUGAAUGUGCAUCGUGAUUGGGAUAGAUGAUUGCAAUUUUUCAUCUUCAACGAGGAAUGCCUAGUAAACGCAAGUCAUCAGCUUGCAUUGAUUACGUCCCUGCCCUUUGUACACACCGCCCGUCGCUCCUACCGAUUGAAUGAUCCGAUGAAUAUCAUGGAUUGAGGAUGCAAGUAGGUUAGCCUAUCUUCAUCUUCGAGAAGUGAAGUAAAUCUUAUCAUUUAGAGGAAGGAGAAGUCGUAACA